rnacentral:misc_RNA from 1 species
GUUGCUAAUCGGAGUUUAAGCAGACAUUAAGAUGUUUGUUCAGAGCACUUACAGCCACUCUCAGUAAAUUCUAUCCUUAAUGGCACUUAGGAAGAUCAAACAGCUGAUUCUACAUCAUCAGUUUUCAUUUCCUCUCUGAAAGAGUGAUUGUGCAGAUGCCGGGUAAAACUAGUAGUCGUAUCCAAGAAAUAAAGAACCAAUGACAUCGUGCAGCAGCACACAAACAUGGGUAUUGGCCCGAAGAUCCAUAGAAAUAGAGGGAACGAUAGAUAGAAAGCUCGCAAUCCGAGGGACCAGAAGAAACUUCCUCGAUUCAAGUUUCUGGCAACAUACUCAAUGGAAUCCUUUUUGCCUACUGAUGUAGGUACAGUAGCCAGGAAGCUAACAUGAGCAUAGUAUCUAAUUGACUGCACAUUGCAAAGAAAGGCAACGAGGAAGCACAGCAGAAUAGAGAAAUACUUUAUUGAAGAAACAAUGGAGGUCUUAUUUCCAUAUAAUAUUUGUGAGGCUGUGUUGCCAGAGUUUGAUGUGCUGCCCACAAACACACUGAUCAAUGAGCUGAGAGUGAUUGCUGUUGUUGCUAAAAGCGUCGAUGCCAUUAUGUUGUUACGUAUUGUUUGAACUGCCAACACACCAUUCUUCAGGGGAUCCUGAGAAUUACAAAGUCAAUAUUGUCAAAAUUGGAAUUUGCAUAGAUAUUAAAUUCUAAAAUAAAAUUUCAGUGAAGAAAAAGUGUAGAUGAACAAUAAACAGUACUUGCUCAAACAACGAUUAACCAAGCCUUAAAUAUGGAUUAUGGACUCUAAUCUCCUUGCUAUGCAUCAAUUAUAGUCUGUGCCAUCCAUACAAAGUAGAUACCAUCAUUGGCUUUUCAUAUAUGCCAAGCAUGUAGUUCAAAGUUUACUUUAAGCACAUCUAAAACUAAUUUUCAUGAGUGUUUUCAAGAAAAUCUUCACAAUGAGAUUAGGAGCGAUACUAGUUUCUUGUUGCCAACCAUAAGCAAUCAACAAUCAGGGAAUGCAGCUUUAAUUCUAACCAAUGGAAGUUAGGCAAGACCUCCUUUAACCUAUGGAAACUGAAGAAGUUGAAUUUACUAAUGGAGAUCAAGAAGAUGACACAUAGAGUUCUAUUGCAGAAAAAGUAGCAUAGAAGUAAAGCUAAUUGAGAACUGAAUCCAUGGAGGGGUGUAGUUUACAGUAAUUAACCUUUACAUAGACUUAAAUGAAUCAUAAUUACAAUCCAAGAGUAAGAUAAGUGUACAAUUUUGAAUUUUCACCCAAGGAUGCUUCUAGUUCUAGAUAAUGAUCAAACCAUGUAAUCCUAACCAGCUACAAAAUUGAGCAAGGAACUUCACAAACUAGGAAAGCUCUCUCACAGGACUCGGUACAAAAGAAUCAACUUAAAAGCUUGUACUUGUUGUAAGGGCCCAUGAAAACGUUUUAAUAUCUCUAACAAGACCUACUUUGAAAAAUGCAGCCCUGCCAUACCUUGUGUUGAAAUUUAGUAAUAAGAAGAGCGAUAUUCAAACUUUAGACCUUUUGGUGAAAGAAAUUCUAAUAUCAUGCCAUGAAACCACUCAACCUUAAAACUGUAAAAAAGCCCAAGAACAAGUUUAGUAUCUUUAACCUCGAUAAUCAUCCAUGCAGCUCUAAUCCCCAAUUUAGUCAUGAUAAUGCCUGCCAAAGAAG